rnacentral:rRNA from 1 species
GAUGAACGCUGGCGGCGUGCCUAAUACAUGCAAGUCGAGCGAAUGGAUUAAGAGCUUGCUCUUAUGAAGUUAGCGGCGGACGGGUGAGUAACACGUGGGUAACCUGCCCAUAAGACUGGGAUAACUCCGGGAAACCGGGGCUAAUACCGGAUAACAUUUUGAACCGCAUGGUUCGAAAUUGAAAGGCGGCUUCGGCUGUCACUUAUGGAUGGACCCGCGUCGCAUUAGCUAGUUGGUGAGGUAACGGCUCACCAAGGCAACGAUGCGUAGCCGGCCUGAGAGGGUGAUCGGCCAAAACGGGACUGAGACACGGCCCGGACUCCUACGGGAGGCAGCAGUAGGGAAUCUUCCGCAAUGGACGAAAGUCUGACGGAGCAACGCCGCGUGAGUGAUGAAGGCUUUCGGGUCGUAAAACUCUGUUGUUAGGGAAGAACAAGUGCUAGUUGAAUAAGCUGGCACCUUGACGGUACCUAACCAGAAAGCCACGGCUAACUACGUGCCAGCCGCCGCAGUAA